CUUUAUUCGAGGAGGUUUACUAGGAGUGUAUUAGCUGAGUUUGAAUUGUGCUGACAUGCUAAGAUUGAAUAACAGUUAUGUCUGAAAUAUAAGUCAAUAAGUACAUGUUCUAAAACAAAAUGAAGCAGUUCUUCAGCAAAGGACCUCUGCAAAAUGAGGACUCGCGCUCGGUGGCUACCGGCGCCCCCGAGGUGCCCGAGUCGCGCACCGUCUACAUCAACAAGGAGCAGCCGCCCAACAAGUGCAUGUCCAACUCCAUCACCACGGCCAAGUACAGCGUGUUCUCCUUCCUGCCCAAGUUUCUGUUCGAGCAGUUCCGGCGCUACUCGAACAUCUUCUUCCUGUUCAUCGCGCUGCUGCAGCAAAUCCCGGACGUGUCUCCGACGGGAAAGUACACCACCCUGACGCCGCUGGUGUGCAUCCUCACCAUAUCGGCCGUCAAGGAGUUCAUAGAGGACUGGAAGCGGCACCGGGCCGACGACGAGAUCAACAGCCGGCAGGUGGAGGUGCUCGACCACCACAACUGGCAGUGGAAGCGCUGGUCAGACGUGGUGGUCGGCAACAUCUGCAAGGUGCGCAGCGACCAGUACUUCCCCGCCGACCUGGUGCUGCUCUCGUCCAGUGAGCCGCAGAGCAUCUGUUACAUCGAGACGGCCAACCUGGACGGCGAGACCAACCUGAAGAUCCGCCAGGGCCUUCCGCAGACGGCGCGCCUGCUCGACACGCGAGACCUCGACCAGCUCAGUGCCAGCGUGGAGUGCGAACUGCCCAACCGGGUGCUCUACGAGUUCGUCGGCACACUCAAGGAGACGGGCAAAACCGCGGUGCCUCUCGGGCCCGACCAGCUGCUGCUGCGCGGCGCCAAGCUGAAGAACACUACGUGGGUGUUUGGCGCCGCCGUCUACACGGGUCACGAGACCAAGCUGAUGAAGAACAGCUCGGCGGCGCCGCUGAAGCGCAGCACUAUGGACAAGGCGACCAACACGCAGAUCAUCUACCUGUUCGGCCUGCUGGUGGUGCUGUGUGUCAUCAGCGCUGUGGCCAGCGAGGUGUGGACCAAGGCGCACCAGGCCACCGACUGGUACCUGGGACUCGACGAAAUGUCUACGGUAAAUUUUGGAUACAACCUGCUGACGUUCAUUAUUCUAUACAAUAAUCUGAUUCCGAUAUCGUUACAAGUCACAGUCGAGAUCGCUAGGUUCAUUCAGGCGCUCUACAUCAACAUGGACCACGAGAUGUACCACGAGCCGACCGACACUCCGGCCAUGGCGCGCACAUCCAACCUCAACGAGGAGCUCGGGCAGGUCAAAUACGUGCUCACCGACAAAACAGGCACGCUCACACAGAACGUGAUGGAGUUCAAAAAGUGCACCAUCGCCGGCGUCAAGUUCAGCUCGCUGGAUGAGCUGCGGCAGGCGCUCCAGGACCGCGACCCGGACCUGAAGUCGCCGGACGCCGUGCAGGACUUCCUGAUGAUGAUGGCUGUGUGUCAUACGGUGAUUCCUGAGGAGCAGGAGCGCAGCACGGGAACCAUCGUCUACCACGCCGCCUCCCCAGAUGAGCGGGCGCUGGUGGAGGGCGCCCGCCGGCUGGGGUUCACGUUCACCACCCGCACGCCUCAGACGGUCUCAGUGGAGGCGUACGGCCAGCUGCUGCAAUUUGACGUGCUGAACGUCCUGGAGUUCACCAGCACUAGGAAGCGCAUGUCGGUGAUAAUCCGUCAGCCGAACGGCCGGAUUCAGCUAAUGUGUAAGGGCGCCGACACGGUCAUCUACGAGAGACUGGGCGACCCGCGCUACAAGGACGACACUCUCUCUCACCUGGCUGAGUUCGCCAGCGAGGGCCUGCGUACGCUGUGUCUGGCCGUGGCGGACAUCCCCGAACAGGAGUACAAGGAGUGGCAGGAGACCUACCACAAGGCGUCCACGGCCAUUCAGUGCCGCGAGGAGAAGGUCGAGGACGCCGCCCGGCUGAUCGAGACCAACCUGGUACUGCUGGGAGCCACCGCCAUCGAGGACAAACUCCAGGACAAGGUCCCGGAGACGAUAGAGGCCCUGCUGGCCGCCGAUAUUCACGUCUGGGUGCUGACCGGAGACAAGCAGGAGACGGCCAUCAACAUCGGCCACUCGUCGCGCCUGCUGCACUCCAAGAUGCCGCUGCUCAUACUGAACGAGGACGGCCUGGACCGGACGCGCGCUAUGGUGACGGAGCGUCUGAACGAGAUGCGUGACCACCGCGAGGAGGCUGGUCAGGUGGCGCUCAUCAUUGACGGCCGCACGCUGCAGUACGCGCUGACACACGAGCUGCGCUCCGAGUUCAUGGAGCUGUGCCUGGGCUGCCGCAGCGUGGUCUGCUGCCGCGUCAGUCCCGGACAAAAGGCAGAGGUAGCGGAGCUGGUCACCCAGCACACGGGCGCCGUCACGCUGGCCAUCGGAGACGGCGCCAACGACGUGGCCAUGAUCCAGGCGGCGCACGUGGGGGUCGGGGUGGCCGGCCUGGAGGGUCUGCAGGCCGCGCACAGCUCCGACUACGCCAUCGGCCAGUUCCGCUUCCUGGCGCGGCUGCUGUUCGUGCACGGCGCGUGGAACUACAGCCGGCUGACCCAGGUGGUGCUGUACAGCUUCUACAAGAACAUCUGUCUGUACGUGAUGGAGCUGUGGUACGCCAUCUACUCGGGCUGGUCCGGACAGGUGGUCUUCGAGCGCUGGACCAUCGCCGCCUAUAACCUGCUGUUCACCUCGGUACCGCCGCUCAUCAUGGGCUUCAUCGACCGGUCCUGUUCGGCCGAGACGCGACUCAAGUACCCGCAACUGUACAAGACGUCACAGGAGGGACAGCUCUUCAGCACGAGGGUGUUUUGGCUGUGGAUCAUCAACUCGCUGGUGCACUCUGUGAUGCUGUUCUGGCUGUCGUACGGCACGAUGACCCAGGACGUGGCCUGGUCCAGCGGCAGAAACGCCGGCUACCUCAUGUUCGGCAACAUGGUCUACACGUAUGUGGUGGUGACUGUGUCACUGAAGGCCGGCCUGGAGAUGCAGGCCUGGACGUGUCUCACCCACCUGGCCAUCUGGGGCUCGAUCGGCGUGUGGUUCGCCUUCCUGCUCAUCUACUCGCACCUGCCGUUCGCGCACGACAUGAUCGGCCUGGACACCAUGGUGUUUACCAGCCCCGUCUUCUGGCUGGGACUGAUCAUGGUGCCUACCGCCACCAUCCUGCCGGACGUCAUCUUCAAGAGUAUCCGGAGCACGGUGCACAAGACGCUGACGGACGAGGUGCGCGAGAGCGAGAUCAAGGCGCGCGACCCUUCCAUCAUCAUGGACGUCAAGGAAAAUGUAGAGCUCAGUACGGUGUUCGAGGAGCAGCCGCGGCGCCAGAAGGUCAACGGCACCGCUCCGGCCGCGCUCACAGUGCACGACUCUUUCGACUAACGGAGCGCGCCCGGCUGCUGAGGAACGUCAAGAACGUGUUCCGGCGCACCACGACCCGGGUCGACCUCGAGGUGGAGCUCUCCCAUGGCUACGCCUUCUCUCAAGAAGAGGGCGGCGCCGUACCGCAGGCCGACAUCAUCCGAGCGUACGAUACCACGCGGCCAAAGCCCACUGGUAUGUGAGCAGCCCGGGCGGCUCGCCGCUGCGGUGGGGUCGUCGCUCGCCGCCGCCGCCCGAGUCGGUCUGACCGGGUACACAGCCCUCAGUCGGCCCGGCGGUCCGCGCGGCGGGCGACGCGCCCCCGUGGAGGCAGCGGCCGGCCCACCACCUAUCGGCCGCAGCUGUAUCUGUGGUGUCUGUGGCAGCCGGUGGGGGCAGCACAAUCGCCGGGCGGGCUCCGCGCCUGGGCCGUGGAGCGGGAGGAGCCGGAUUGCCUGACGCCGGGAGAGGCCGGGCCUGACGCCCGGAGAAGCCGGGUUGUGUGUGACGCCGGGAGAAGCCGGACUGUCUAUGGGGCUGAGAGGAGCCGGGUUAUCUGUGGGGCCGCGAGGUUCAAAGCAGCUGAAGCGCGAUCCAUGUUGACUAUUGUGAAUGGCUGUAUAACAUGUUACAUUGUCCGCCGGGUCGACGGAGACCUGGCGCGAUGGCUGUAUAAGUCUGUUACAGACGCCGUUUUACUUACGUACGCCGAAGCUAGUCAUGUGUUGCCGUUUAAGGGGGGGGGGAUGCGCACCAGAUUUACCCGGUUGUGUUUGAGCGUUUUAGGGCCACCCUUGCACGGGACUAGCUGGUACAAAUACGUUAUGAUCUCACGCCAUGUUACGUUGCUGUGACUGGGGGUUCGUUGCUGCGUUCGCGAGCUGUGUACCUAUGAGAUGUGUGCCAGGGAACGGCAGGUCACUGGAUGGUGGACCGGACGGCCUGGUACCCGGCGGGUACCGAGCCGUCGAAAGGCUAAUAUCCGUCAUUUUAUAUUGACACAAACCCGUAUCAUAUCUAUUUAGCAUCCUGCGCAACCACCGAAACUACUAGAUGCUCGUUUUUUUUUCGUGUGGACUAUCUCUCCGCCUUUAAUGAAGUCUGCCUCCCUUCCCUACAAUCUACAUACAGCCUGUCUCCGUUCCCUCUCACGGUCUUAACUCUCUGUGCAGUCUCUGAGCCAUUCCUUACAGUCUGCAUUGCCGGCCGUUUCUGAGGUCCGCCCGGCCCGGUCGGGGCGCCGCGCUGCGUUUUUGUUUGGCUGUUGAUCGCUCUGCGCGGCUGGGGGCGGCGGGGCUGGUCUGGUGCGCUGUGUGACUGUCUGCGACGGGCGCCGCGCGGCCCGCCCCGGUGUGCCGAGUUGUACCGUGUCUGUGACUGUGCCGCUGCUGUUUGUCGCCUGUGCCAGGCGAGAGUUGGAGGUGAGCGCCUUUCCUUCGCAAAUCUGUGUACUAAUACAUGUAUGUAUGUGUCAA
rnacentral:misc_RNA from 1 species